rnacentral:rRNA from 1 species
UACGUAGGCAGCAAGCGUUGUUCGGAGUUACUGGGCGUAAAGGGUGCGUAGGCGGUUGUUUAAGUUUGGUGUGAAAUCUCCCGGCUCAACCGGGAGGGUGCGCCGAAUACUGAACGGCUAGAGUGCGGGAGAGGAGAGUGGAAUUCCUGGUGUAGCGGUGAAAUGCGUAGAUAUCAGGAGGAACACCGGUGGUGUAGACGGCUCUCUGGACCGUAACUGACGCUGAGGCACGAAAGCGUGGGGAGCAAACAGG